rnacentral:rRNA from 1 species
UGGGGAAUCUUCCGCAAUGGACGAAAGUCUGACGGAGCAACGCCGCGUGAGUGAUGACGGCCUUCGGGUUGUAAAGCUCUGUUAAUCGGGACGAAUGGUUCUUGUGCGAAUAGUGCGAGGAGUUGACGGUACCGGAAUAGAAAGCCACGGCUAACUACGUGCCAGCAGCCGCGGUAAUACGUAGGUGGCAAGCGUUGUCCGGAAUUAUUGGGCGUAAAGCGCGCGCAGGCGGAUUGGUCAGUCUGUCUUAAAAGUUCGGGGCUUAACCCCGUGAUGGGAUGGAAACUGCCAAUCUAGAGUAUCGGAGAGGAAAGUGGAAUUCCUAGUGUAGCGGUGAAAUGCGUAGAUAUUAGGAAGAACACCAGUGGCGAAGGCGACUUUCUGGACGAAAACUGACGCUGAGGCGCGAAAGCCAGGGGAGCGAACGGG